GAUGAACGCUAGCGACAGGCUUAACACAUGCAAGUCGAGGGGCAGCACGGGAGUAGCAAUACAACUGGUGGCGACCGGUGCACGGGUGAGUAACGCGUAUGCAACCUACCUAUCAGAGGGGAAUAACCCGGCGAAAGUCGGACUAAUACCGCAUAAAACAGGGGCACCGCAUGGUGAUAUUUGUUAAAGAAAUUCGCUGAUAGAUGGGCAUGCGUUCCAUUAGGUGGUUGGUGAGGUAACGGCUCACCAAGCCGACGAUGGAUAGGGGAACUGAGAGGUUGGUCCCCCACACUGGUACUGAGACACGGACCAGACUCCUACGGGAGGCAGCUGUGAGGAAUAUUGGUCAAUGGGCGAGAGCCUGAACCAGCCAAGUCGCGUGAAGGAAGAAGGAUCUAUGGUUCGUAAACUUCUUUUGCAGGGGAAUAAAGUGCAGGACGUGUCCUGUUUUGUAUGUACCCUGAGAAUAAGGAUCGGCUAACUCCGUGCCAGCCGCCGCAGUAAAAC
rnacentral:rRNA from 1 species